UCCGACAAUUGCCGAAGAUUGACAGCUGCGAGUGCGUCUCUUUCUAUUGCCGCUUUUUUCUCACUCAUUUACUUCCUGCCUGGUCACGGAGCGUGUAUCCGCGCGUUGCCUCUUCUUUAAGCCCUUUCUCACGAGUUCACACACACACACACCAAGCUCCCGUAAGCCAUGGCCGAUAACGAGGAUCUUUUAGAUUAUGAGGAAGAGGACCAGACCGAGCAGGUGGUGGCAGAGACCACGGAACAGCCGAAAAAGGAUGUGAAGGGUACUUACGUAUCGAUUCACAGCUCCGGCUUCCGUGAUUUUUUGCUGAAGCCUGAAAUUCUGCGCGCCAUCGUCGACUGUGGUUUCGAGCAUCCGUCUGAAGUGCAACACGAGUGUAUUCCGCAGGCUGUGCUUGGUAUGGACAUUUUGUGCCAGGCCAAGUCCGGUAUGGGAAAGACGGCUGUAUUUGUGCUAGCCACGCUGCAGCAGUUGGAACCGACCGAAAACGUGCCGUACGUGCUGGUAAUGUGCCACACGCGCGAGCUCGCUUUCCAGAUAAGCAAGGAGUAUGAGCGAUUUUGUAAGUACAUGCCCACCAUCAAGGUGGCCGUAUUCUUCGGUGGGCUGCCGAUCCAGAAGGACGAAGAGGUGCUGAAAACGACGACACCUCACAUAAUCGUGGGUACGCCGGGACGCGUGCUGGCGCUUAUCCGCAACAAGAAGCUGAACCUGAAGAACCUGAAACACUUCAUACUCGACGAGUGCGACAAAAUGCUCGAACAGUUAGAUAUGCGCCGCGAUGUCCAGGAGAUUUUCCGUAACACACCACACGGAAAGCAAGUGAUGAUGUUCUCUGCCACACUGAGCAAAGAAAUUCGGCCGGUGUGCAAAAAGUUCAUGCAAGAUGUAAAUACCACCACUAGUACUACUACCACUACUUCUACUUCCCCAUCUACCUCUACUACUACUACUGCUACUCGUAAUGAUAUUAAGCGAACGGAAAGUUACUGUGUCGAUGGGAAAAGUUUGCCGAAGGGUUGUCGCUCAAGUUCGCUGAUGCUGGCAACCGAUUCUACCGCUGCCGUUGCUGUUGCUGCUGUCUUGUCGUCGUUGUCCUCCGUGUCGCACACGCGGUUUAUGAAACGGUACCGUACCGCUGCGUCCGCACAGCGCAAUCUCCUUUGGCCGAUCGCGGCCACUUGACGGGGCGUAUCAUCAACGCGCUCGUACGCGAUAUUCUGAGCUGAACGUCUUUUUUGGAAGCUCUAGUGCUUUGUGGAUGUAAAACGCAUCGGCCUCUGCAUUACUGCUCUCCAUCGUUCGUUUGCCUUCCCCGCUGCUGGAGGGACGAAGGGCUAAAAUAGUUGCAACCGAAUGAGAAGAAGCAAGCACAAAGGGUAAGGAAAGGAAAGUUGCGCACGCUCUUCGUUUUGCCGAGGAUGCCGGAAAGCUGCUGCUUCUGAAACUGGUCCAUCGGAAGAGGAGACGAACGAAUCCAGCCGCACUGCAAUGGUGUAUAAAAACCAAACCACCACCGUAAAACAAAACCAACCCCGAUAAACUGCCAAAAGUCUUAAUCUUUCUCUAAAUCAAACCAACCCGAGCAAACAAAAACACGCACAAGCUGUGUUAAAGUGAUGUAGAAGUUAUGUACACCAUUUGCGCGGUCGCGGUUACACACGUCGUAAGAAGCGUUGCUUGAUCAUAGUGCUCAGAGUCAGGAUGCUUGAAAACACGUCGUCCAUCUGGAACUGUCGUCGCAGUGCAGCGCUACCCCACCGGGCAUGCCAACACAGCAGUUGCAUGCGAAACAGAAAACGACAGUAACAUCAAUGAAUCCGUGGUCGAGAAGCGUAUUCCGUUCGGAACGAAACGAUGAUGAUGCGGGCCUGUGUCGUCCUGCCCAAUUGAUCCCCGAUGUGGUUCUCUCCUUGGUUGCUGCGCUUCUACCGAGCACCCAGCGGAUUGGUGGAAAAGGAGCCCCUAUGGAAGUGUAUGUUGACGAUGAAACCAAACUAACCCUUCACGGUCUGCAGCAGCAUUACGUGAAGCUGAAGGAAAACGAGAAAAACAAAAAGCUGUUCGAAUUGCUCGAUGUGCUGGAGUUCAAUCAGGUGGUGAUUUUCGUGAAAUCCGUGCAACGCUGCAUGGCACUGGCGCAGCUGCUGACCGAGCAAAAUUUCCCCGCCAUCGGUAUCCACCGUGGCAUGGUGCAGGAAGAACGUCUGUCGCGGUACCAGCAGUUCAAGGAUUUCCAGAAACGCAUCCUGGUCGCGACGAACCUUUUCGGACGAGGCAUGGAUAUUGAGCGUGUGAACAUUGUGUUCAACUACGACAUGCCGGAAGAUUCGGACACCUACCUGCAUCGUGUGGCCCGUGCCGGACGCUUCGGUACCAAGGGUCUCGCCAUCACCUUCAUCUCCGACGAGGCGGAUGCGAAGAUACUGAACGAUGUGCAGGAUCGGUUCGAUGUGAAUAUUAACGAGUUGCCGGACGAAAUCGAUCUCUCCUCUUACAUCGAAGGACGAUAAAGCGACGAGCGGAAGAUGCUCCCGUACCUUGGUUUGGUGCGUAAUCCCAACGUGUAGUAGUAGUGCAGCGUGUUAAGUAAAGGAUAAUUGAACAAUUUAUGGUUGCGCGCGCACUAUCUGUCCGCGGCCGUCUUGGCUGCGAGUUAGAUCGAUAAUUUCUGGCAUUUCUGUUGCAAUUCCGCAAAUGCUAUCACUAUAAUAACUUUACAUGCAUAAUUUUAGUAAGAGUGAUGAAUUUUAAUAACUUAAAACACGCGUUCAAACAAUUCUUUCCUUUUUUUUUGCAAACAAACAAACAAAAAACUACAUUCAAUCCUCACAUUACGAUUAAUGUUCCGUUUACCGAUCUUCUCACGUUAAUGUGUGACAGUAUCGUUUGUGGGCCCAAUCGUCGGUACAUUCAAAUGUUUGGCGAGGAAAACCUUUCCCUACGCUGCACAUCUGCUGCUAAACAAAACAGGGGGGGGGGGGGGGGGUUGUGCCGGUUGGUCCCCAGUAUGGCGGGGUCGGGACCGAUUUUCACCGAUUCAUUCAUUCUAUUGAUGUUCAAUAGUACUAGUGGAUAUAGGUUGAAAGCAGUUGAUAAAACUACUUAUUUUAGUAAGGCUUGAUAACUUGGUGUAAUUUUGGACCGAAACAAGAAUAAAAAUAUUAACAAAGUGUUUAGUACGUACCUAGGCGUAAGAAUCCACCAAAA